rnacentral:rRNA from 1 species
AUGGGAAGGCCAAAGAAAAGUAGGAAGAAAGAGCCAGAAGAGAAAAAGGGUAAGGAUGGUCUGAAGAAAGUAACAAAACAUGGUGUCACUAUGCAUUGUUCUAUAUGUGGAACUGCUGAUCACAAUAAAAAAGGUCACCACAACCAUGUAAAUGAUGAACCAAAACCAAGAGGAGCAGAGGAAUCAGAAGAAGAGUAUGAUGACCCAAGCAUCAUUGAUAACAUUAUGCCACAUAGAGUAAAUCCCAUGCUGGAUCCAACAAAAACUAAAGAUUCCAUGGUGUUCAUGAUGCAGGAAAGGGGACUCAAUCCCAGUAGGUAG